AUAAUGUUUUAGAAAAGAACUAAGGUAUGAUAUAGUCCUUGAGAUUAGAACUAUACAGUAAAUAUACCAGGAACAUUGAGUAGGAUCUUUGAACAGAAGGUUGCAAAAUGCAGAAGGACAAGGGACAAGGGGAUUGCAAAUACAUGCAACAGAAUGAUUAUAAUGAUAGCUCAUAGAAACCAAAGCAGGUAAUGAGAAGAAUGAAGACAUAAUGGAAAUGACAAUCAGCAGCAAGUCAAAGGAUUGAAGGAAGUUCAGACACAGUCAAGUUAACCUGGUCCUCUCCUCUGCAGAAAAGGUGGGUCCCCGACAAAACCCCACCCUCAAGUCUGAAACCAUGACCCAAAGUGAGAACUUACACCUCUGCUUUACUGUUCUACUGUUGCCUUUUUCCUAAACCAUCCAUGACCCCUCCUCCCAUCCUGUGCCUGUAAAAACUGGCAGAGAGGAAGGUAGCUGGACAUUGAAGCCUACGGUUGGAUGUCAGAGAGAAGCGGCUUGACUCUAGAAAGACAGCUUGGUGGCAUAACUUCGGAGAAGAAUCUGGUCAGAGAUGGUCGGAAUUCAGGGGAAGAUGAUCAUCCUGCCCCAUCCCCUUUUCAGCUCCCCUUCCCAUUGAAAGCCACUUUUAUCAGCCAUAAAAUCACCUGAAUUUACCAUCCUUCAAUUCAUGCAACCUAAUUUCUCUUGGACUCCGGACAAGAGCUCGGGAGACCCAAGUAUGGAUACAAAAGGCAGAGGGCCCAUUGAGCUGUUAACAUUUAAGCAGUCCACGGAUGGCAGAGCAAAAAAAGCACUGUAACACUCCCUCUGGGGCUUCCGGGGUUGCAGGCACCUCCCCCAGAUGCUACCGCGGGGCCUGCACGGAGUUUGCUCCUGCCGCCGCCCAAAAAUGCUUGCCCUGACUCCUGCAAUGGCUCACCUGUGCAGCAGGUCCCAGUGAGUGGAGUUCGGCCCUGCUGGCGUUGAAACAGCUGGCUGCUUCCAGCGUUCAUGCACUCCAGUUUCACGAGGAGUUGAAAACUGCAGUCUAGGUAAAUGAGACACCCUUAUUGAGAGUCCUGUGAAGGGGUCAGAGAAAUAUAAUAUCCUUUAUCACAUAGGCUAUACAUAUUAGGUAUAUGUGUGUGUGUGUAUAUAUAUAUAUAUAUAUAUAUAUAUAUAUAUAUAUAUAUACACACACACAUAUAUAUACAUACACAGUCAUGUACUACAUAAUGACAUUUUGUCAGUGACAUAUUGCAUAUAUGAUGAGAGAUAUUAUUAUGGUGCUGCCCUAUAUACUGUCAUGUUUAUCUUUAUAACAUAUUUUUACUGUACUUUUUCUAUAUUUAAUAUACAGAUAAAAUUGUGUUAUAGUUGCCUACAGUAUUCAGUACAGUAACAAGCUGAAUAGGUUUGUAGCCUAAAAGCAAAAACUAUACCAUAUACCCUGGAUGUGCAGUAGACUACACUAUCUAUACCUAUACAUAUACUAGAUUUGUAUAAGUACACUCUGUGAUGUUCAAACAAUGACAAAAUCACCUAAGGACACAAUUUUCAGAACAUAUCCCUAUUGUUAAGUGAUACAUGACUACACACACACACACACACACACACACACACAUACAUAUGGAGAGAGAGAGAGAGAGUUAUCAUGGAAUUUAUUUCUUAUGAGAGAAAGAAUUGGUUCACACUAUUUUGGAGGCUGACCUCAAGGGUGAGUUGAUAAGCUGAGGUCCCAGGAAAGCCAAUGAUUUAAUGUUCAACCUGAAGGCCAGCAGCCUCAAAAUCUAAGAUCCAAUGUUUCAGUGGGAUCUGUGGUGGGAAAAACACUGAUGUUCCAAUUUGAAGGCAGUCAGGCAGAAUAAAUUCCUUCUUGUUUAAGGGAGGGUCAUCCUUUUGGUUUCAUUCAGACCUUCAGCAGAUUGAAUGAGGCCCACCCACAUCAGAGAGAGCAAGUGAGCUGCUUUACUCAGUCUACUGACUUAAAUGUUAAUGUCACCCAAAAACACCUCCACAGCAAUACCCAGAAUAUGUAUCACCAAAUACCUGGGCACAUAUUGGCCAAGUCAAGUUGCUCUAUAAAAUUAACAUUACAGUCCCCUAAGACUAACUUUAUAGAUUUUUGAAAUUUGUAUUUUCUUUUGGUUAUUAACUAUUUUUUAACCCUUAAAUGUGUUAAUUACGGACCUUUAUGUUAGACAUAUUAAUAUCAUUAAAUCAUUUCACAUCUUCACUCUCAUCCAACUCAUUUAAAAUUAUAUUUACAGAGUUUAGUUUUUAAAGAUCUUUAAGAUAUUUUAAUGAUACAUUUAAAAUUCAGACAUUGUUUUUAUAACUUCAUUUUUUUCUAGUUAAAAUCUAGGAUACUUGUUCAAAUCAUUCUAAAAUUUUGGUCCCCAUAAGUCACUAAUUUCAGGUUAUAGUGAUCUCAUUUUCAUUGGAUUUUUACCAGAUAAUUAACUUUUGUUAUUAAAAAUUGGUCUAGUGUAAUAGUAGCCCUUGUUUUUUCAAUAUUAUGGAAAAUACAAAAAGCAUCAGAAAUAUACUAAUUAUUCAGACCACUCUAGCAGUUUGUGUUUUUCCACUGUUAUUUCCUAUUCCUGUUCUAAUUUGGUGAGCUUCAUUAAAAACACAUUACUCAUUUCAGUUCAUUUUACCCAUUUACAGGUGUUUGCCCAUUAUGUUAUGAUCUUGCUCCUAAUUCUAGUCUCCCCCUCCCUCUCUCUCUCUCUCUCUUGUUAACCAACGUCUCUCUUUUUCCCUCCUAAAUCAAAAAUAUCCAUGGGGACAAAAUUUCUUUCUGUUUUUGGAGGGGACAAAUCUACAUCCAAAAGAAGGAGCACCCUUGUUAUUUCUGUCCUGGCAAUUUUAUUCUGCUGCGCAUAUACCAUCUGUUCAGUAUCCGGUAUUGCAUAUAGCACACUUUCAAUUCGCUUGUAAGUUUUUGUUUGUUUCUUUUGGCUGUCUUAGCUUAUAGCCAUGAUUUCACUCUAAAAAUGUUGAUUGGCAGGUACUAUUUCUUUUUCACCAGUGUGUUCCUGGUUCCAAGAAAAGUGCAGGAACAUAUAGUGGAAUCUCAGUAUAAACUUGUUGAAAGAAUGGAUGAUGCUUCCAUCAUGUUUUGGCUGUGACUAUAGGAUUAGAUUUGUCUCUGGAAUUUUCAUUUUAGCAUAUGUGUUGACUAUACUUCAUGCAUUUAUUAGAGAUAACAUAUGGUGACCUGGAUCAUAAUCCCCUUUUUAUAUUAAUAAAAUCCAGAUUUAUAACAAAGUAGUGGAGGGAAAGAGGCUAUAAUAAAGAGAUAGGAGACAGAGAUAACUCAUUUCUCCAAUACAAGCAAGUCAUCUGUGGGAAGAGGAGUGGGAUGUUCCUAGUUUAUAGUCCUUUAGUGAUAAGGCAUGCAGUCAGCCCUCUGUAUCGCCACGUUCGGCACAGUGGAUUUAGCCAAUGACAGAUGGAAAAUAUUUUUUAAUCUCGAUAAAAAAUAAUACAACAAUUAAAAAUAUUAAAAAUAAAAGCAAUACCAUACAACAACUAUUCACAUAACUUUUACAAUGUGUUAAGUGUUAUAAGUAAUCUAGAGAUGAUUUAAAGAAUAUAGGAGGAUGUGCAUAGUUAUAUGGAAGUACUGUGCCAUUUUAUGUCAGGCACUGGAGCAUCUUUAGAUUUGGGUAUCCCAAAGUUUCCUGGAACCAGUCCCCCAUGGAUAUAUAGGGAACACUGUACAAAAAAAUGGUUCCAGGUUUCUUCCCGCUUUGAAAUGUAAACAUGUCUGUCCAGAGAUAACUCUGUAUUUCUCUGGAGGUUUUUAUCUAUUCAAUUAUCCCUUAACUUCCAAGAUUUUUCUUUUAGUGCAGGUUUUUGUGCAAAGUUGCUUUGGCCACUCCAGGUCUUUCAGAUUUUCAAAUACUUGUUUAGAAUUAGCUUGAGAACUUAAAUAGCAACAAAGCCUUGAUGGGUUUAGAGAUUGCAUUGAAUUUAUCAGCCAAUCUAGUUGGGGGGUGGGGGUGGGGAUUGAAUGUUAACAAUAUUGAGACUUCUUGAUCUAUGACCAAGGUAUCUCUUUCCAUUUCUUUGGGCCUCCUUUAAUUUCAUUCAGUAACGUUUUGUAGUUUUCACUGGACAGGUAAUGCACAUGUUCAGUCAAAUUUAUCCCUAAACAUUUAACAUUUUGAAGCUAUAAUAAAUAAAUUUUAAAUAAAAUAAUUCUGAUUAUUCAUUGCUAAUAUUUAGAAAUACAAUGGAUUAUUGUAUAUUGGUCUUGUGUUCUGUAAACUUUCUAAAAUCACUGGUUAGUUCUAAUAGCAUUGCUUUUUAUUUCCUUUUAAAGAUUUUAUCAAGUUCCAUCAGAUUUUCUUUAUAGACAAUUAUGCUUUCCACAAAUAAGACAGUAAGACAAUUUUCCUUUUUGCAUAAAUCUAGAUGCCAUUUAUUUCUUUUCCUUGCUUUUGUUCAUUGGCUAAAAUAUCCAGUACAUGUUGAAAUGAAUAUCCCUCUAUUGUUCCUGAUCUUAGUUGGACAGCAUUUAGCAUCAAUUUCACCAUUAAUUAUUAAUGUUGGAUGUAUAUUUUGCAUACAUUCAUGUAUUAAUUGCUUGUUACUCCUGUAACAAACUACCACACACUUAUUCACUUAAAACAGUACAAAUGUAUUAUCUUAUAGUUGUGAAGAUCAAAAGUCCUAAAUGACUCUCAUUGCGUUAAAAAACAAGGAGUCAUCAGGACCCAAAGCUCCCAUGCCCUCCUGAGGCACAUCCCCCUCCAGGAACUGAACGAAGGAUGUGUUCUGCUAUCCAGCAACUCUCCAAACCCAGUCCUUUUUGUUUUCUAUGGAGGUCUCAUUACAAGCAUGAUUGAUUAAAUCAUUGACCAUUGGUGAUCAACUCGAUCUUCAGUGCCAAUCUUCUCCCCAGAGUUUUAGUGUGGGGCUGAAAGUUCUAACCCUCUAAUAAUGCCUCAUUCUUUCUGGUGACCACCUCUCAUCCUGAAUCUGUCUAAGGGCCCCCAGCCACCAAUAAACUCAGUAGCAUACAAAAAGAGAAACAGGGACUGAGAUCAAAUAUAUAUUUCACAAAUAACAGUUAAUGUUAACAUGGUUAAUUAUAUUUUAUUAUUUUGAAUGUAAAACAACUUUGUGUUUCCAAGAUAAUAAUUAUGGUGAAAUAUUCUUUUUAUAUAUUUUUGGAUUCUAUUUGCUAAACGUUAAAGUUUUUUUGCAUCUAUAUUCAUAUAACAUACUGAACUAUAACUUGCGUUUCUCACAAUAUGUUAGAAUAAUGUGGUUCUCAUAGAAUGAGUUUCGUUCUCUUCAAUUUUCUGAGUUUCUGUAGAAUUGCCAUUAUUUCUUCUUUAAAUAU
rnacentral:lncRNA from 10 species